ensembl:lncRNA EPIC1 epigenetically induced MYC interacting lncRNA 1
AGUCCGCCAUUGCAAACACGAAGCUCUUCCAGAAACGCCCUCACAGACACCCCGGAAGUCACGUACCCACUCUGUAGGUGCCCCGGGGCACAGGCAAGCGGACGAGCCAGUUAUCCCUCAGAGCUCCUGCUGCCUCGCCCGCUUUCUCUCGGAAACGUGAAGUGUGGCCUCAGCUGAAAGUGAGGUGGGCCUCAUUCAAUCAGUUGAAUUCUUCAAGAGAGAAAAACUGAAGUCCCUUAGAAGGAAAGAGUUCUGCCUUCAGACUGUCUUUGAACUUAAGACUGUAGCGUCGACUCCUGCCGGAAUUUCCAGCCUGCUGGCCAGCUCUGCAGAUUCACACUUGCCAGCCUCCACAAUCGCAGCUGAGGCGGAGGAACCCUAAGGGCUCAUUGAGAUCAUGGAUUUGCCCUUCUAUGCAUUGAUGGAGCACCUGCUGCCCACAGCGUCUGUAUUUGGUGCUGGGAUGCUGAGGACACUGAGAUCUUCAAACAGAGGCUGCCACUCUAAGCAAACAGAUCCCGAGCCCUGGACUCUGAAGCUUGGGCCCAGUUCUCCUUUUCUCCGGGUUUCAGAUCCCACUGUGAAGUGAGGGGGCCCUUCUGAUUCAGGACCCGGGGAAGCCAGGGGCAUGAGCAUCGGUGCCUCUUCUCUAUUUCAAGGACCCUUCUGGGUGUAAAGUUCUCUGAGAUGCCUUACAUGGAUUCCCACCACUGCAAGAUAACCAUCGUAUGUAAAGUGUUAUGACCAGCAGAGCGUAAUUGAAGUGCAUUCCAGAGGGAAAGACAGCGGCUCAGAUGAGGCUUCAGGCUUGACCAAAUCUGACUGGCUGGCUGCCGGAGACACUGCUACCCAUCGGCCCUUAAUAAAUGGCCUCAUUUGAUCAUCAUGUGAUCUUCAGAAGCUGGGCUUGAUUAUCCUUGCCAAACAAAAUGCUGAAACCAAAAAUCUGAAAGUAAAUCAAAGGUUUCGCCAUCAUGUAAACCCUUGGGCGACAGAGUCUACCUGUCUCCCCCUGAUAUUGUUCUAUGAGAUUUCGAUGCUAUCUUCAUUGCCAGCAGCCCUGACAAAGAUGCACUGCAGACGGAUAGCCUCUCAGGCUGGAGUGCAGUGGCGUGAUCUUGGCUCACUGCAGCCUCUGCCUCCCCCACUCAAGCAAUUCUCCUGCCUCCGCCUCCUGAGUAGCUGGGAUUACAGGCACCUGCCACCAUGCCUGGCUAAUUUUUUUUUUUUUUGUAUUUUUAGUAGAUACGGGGUUUUACCAUGUUGGCCAGGCUGGUCUCGAACUCCUGGCCUUAGGUGAUCCACCUGCCUCGGCCUCCCAAAGUGCUGAGAUUACAGGCAUGAGCCUCCACACCCAGCCUAUUUAAGCUAUUUUUUUUCAAAUCUCUAUGAACUCAAAGUUUUACUUAUAAAAUGGACCAAAUAUAAGGAAGAAAUAACAGAAAA